GGACUUGUAAUCAAUGGGCAUCACGAGGAAUUGCACUGGUCUCCCUUUAUCCAAUCAGUGAAACUGAUCUCCCUGUGAAAAAGCAGGGCAUAAAACUAUAAGACGAGAAGACCCCAUGGAAGCUUUAAACCAACAGCAACUUAGUAAAACACCCUAAAAACUAUAAAAUUAUGCUUACGGCUUUAGGUUGGGGUGACCGCGGAGUAAAACUUAACCUCCAUGUCGAAAAGACAAACUACCCAGAAUUACCACUCUAAGAAUUAGCAAACUAACGGACUAUGACCCGAUAUCGAUCAACGAACCAAGUUACCCUGGGGAUAACAGCGCAAUCUACUUCAAGAGUCCUUAUCGACAAGUAGGCUUACGACCUCGAUGUUGGAUCAGGGUAUCCUAGUGGUGCAACCGCUACUAAAGGUUCGUUUGUUCAACGAUUAAAAUCCUACGUGAUCUGAGUC
rnacentral:rRNA from 1 species